rnacentral:rRNA from 1 species
UGGGGAAUUUUGCACAAUGGGGGAAACCCUGAUGCAGCGACGCCGCGUGAUUUAGAAGGCCUUCGGGUUGUAAAAAUCUUUUCUAUGGGAAGAAAAUGACAGUACCAUAGGAAUAAGGACCGGCUAAUUACGUGCCAGCAGCCGCGGUAAUACGUAAGGUCCGAGCGUUGUCCGGAAUCAUUGGGCGUAAAGGGUACGUAGGCAGGUAAGCAAGUUAGAAGUGAAAUCCUAUAGCUCAACUAUAGUAAGCUUUUAAAACUGCUCAUCUUGAGGUAUGGAAGGGAAAGUGGAAUUCCUAGUGUAGCGGUGAAAUGCGCAGAUAUUAGGAGGAAUACCGGUGGCGAAGGCGACUUUCUGGCCAUAACCUGACGCUGAGGUACGAAAGCGUGGGUAGCAAACAGG